GUGCCAGCAGCCGCGGUAAUACCGGUGGCUCGAGUGGUGGCCGCUAUUAUUGGGUCUAAAGGGUCCGUAGCCGGCCUGAUAAGUUACCUGGGAAAUCCGGUGGCCUAACCAUCGGGCGGCCAGGUAAUACUAUCAGGCUCGGGACUAGGAGAGACCAGAGGUACUCAUGAGGUAGGAGUGAAAUCCUGUAAUCUUAUGAGGACCACCAGUGGUGAAGACGUCUGGUUAGAAUAGGUCCGACGGUGAGGGACGAAGGCUGGGGGCGCAAACCGGAUUAGAUACCCGGGUAGUCCCAGCAGUAAACGAUGCCAGCUAUGUGUUGCUGGAACCAUGGGUUCCAGCAGUGCCGAAGGGAAGCCGUGAAGCUGGCCACCUGGGAAGUACGGUCGCAAGGCUGAAACUUAAAGGAAUUGGCGGGGGAGUACCACAACCGGUGGAGCCUGCGGUUUAAUUGGAUACAACGCCGGGAAUCUUACCGGAGGGGACAGCAGUAU
rnacentral:rRNA from 1 species